rnacentral:rRNA from 1 species
CCUGCUUUCAGUUGCUACCGGAUCAUGCCGAGCACUCUGAAAGGACUGCCCAGGAUAACGGGGAGGAAGGUGGGGAUGACGUCAAGUCAGCAUGGCCUUUAUGUCCAGGGCCACACACGUGCUACAAUGGACGGUACAAAGCGCUGCAAAC